rnacentral:rRNA from 1 species
AACGAACGCUGGCGGCAUGCCUAACACAUGCAAGUCGAACGAGACCUUCGGGUCUAGUGGCGCACGGGUGCGUAACGCGUGGGAAUCUGCCCUUGGGUUCGGAAUAACAGUUAGAAAUGCCUGCUAAUACCGGAUGAUGACUUCGGUCCAAAGAUUUAUCGCCCAGGGAUGAGCCCGCGUAGGAUUAGCUUGUUGGUGAGGUAAAAGCUCACCAAGGCGACGAUCCUUAGCUGGUCUGAGAGGAUGAUCAGCCACACUGGGACUGAGACACGGCCCAGACUCCUACGGGAGGCAGCAGUGGGGAAUAUUGGACAAUGGGCGAAAGCCUGAUCCAGCAAUGCCGCGUGAGUGAUGAAGGCCUUAGGGUUGUAAAGCUCUUUUACCCGGGAUGAUAAUGACAGUACCGGGAGAAUAAGCCCCGGCUAACUCCGUGCCAGCCGCCGCCGUAA